UACGUAGGGACCAAGCGUUGUUCGGAUUUACUGGGCGUAAAGGGCGCGUAGGCGGCAAUUCAAGUCAUCUGUGAAAUCUCCGGGCUUAACCCGGAACGGUCAGAUGAUACUGCUUUGCUAGAGUGCGGAAGGGGCAAUCGGAAUUCUCGGUGUAGCGGUGAAAUUCGUAGAUAUUGGGAAGAACACCGGUGGCGAAGGCGGCCAUCUGGACCGCAACUGACGCUGAGGCGCGAAAGCGUGGGGAGCAAACAGG
rnacentral:rRNA from 1 species